GCUAGAAGGAUAAAUAGGCUAAUCAUCAGUAGGAGAAUCCUCCCGAGGUGGAGGGGUCUUUUUGCAGUGAGAAUCAUGGGUCCAAGCAGUCAGUCUUUGAAAUUUUAAGCAAUGUUGAUAGC